CGUCGGUAAGGUGAUAUGAACCGUAAUAACCGGCGAUACCCGAAUGGGGAAACCCAGUGCAAUUCGUUGCACUAUCAUACGAUGAAUACAUAGUCGUAUGAGGCGAACCGG
rnacentral:rRNA from 1 species